GACCGGCCUGGAGCGCCCUCGCCUGGAGCGGCGGCCCAGCCCAACCCGCCCUCACGAACCUCCGCAGCGGACGGCGUCUGGCUUGGGUCUACCCAGGGGCCGCAGGGGCGGUUCUCGGUCGACCCCGCGGGAAACCGGCUAACAAGUUACCCUGCCACAGUUUCAAUGCAUGCUGGCAAAAGACAGAAGACUCCUGAGACGAAACAGAGAACCUCAUGACUCACAGCACAGCAAGCAGCAGGAGCCUCAGGCUAUGAAACAUUUUAAAAAUCACUGGAAUCAUCUGUUCUUUAAAGGGCUUUUCCAAGAUUGGGACUCACCAACAGCACACAGCUCUCACAGGGGCAACUGAUAUGCAGAACUUUUUUCAGUCUGCUUAUGAUAAUUGCCUCAAAUUAACAUCACAAGGCAGUGGAAAUUACAUUCCCCAAAGGCUUCCUACUGCAGGAAGUUAUCUUGCUCCUUACUGCAAAGGUAGUAACGAUUAAAAUCAGGUUAGCUUCUGUCUUGCAAAAGUUUGUCUGUUAAUCCAUUAUUUAUAUUCCUAUAAAAAGGCAUUUCUGUAUCAAAAUGCAUGAAUUUUAACCUGUUGUAAAUGAAAGUUUAAGUUUUUUUCUAUUGUAUCGGACAAGUCUUCUCUCUGCCAGAAACCUUAAAAUUGAAGUUCUUAUAACAGCAGUCGAGUGGCUUUUACCUAACUGCAUGGAUGUUCAGUGUUCAGAUGACAGGAAGUUAUAGUCCUUCGCUGUCCUGUACGCCUCGGGCCAUACCAGGAGUUCAGUCUGAGUGCCUUAUUUUAAGCACAGCAUUGAUGAACUAAAGUGCUCACCAGGAAGCAGAUGGAGGAGAGGAGCCGGAGACCAGUUUGCAUGGGAGCAGAGGACACAGUUGGAGAGGCCCUAUAACUGACUUCAGAUCAUUGAAGGGCUGCUUGGUAGAAGAUGGCUCAUUUGUCGUCGCUUUUCAAGGCAGGCAUAAGGCCAAAGAGAGAGCUACAGAAAGUUAGAUUUCAUCUUUAAAUAGAAGAACUUUAAACAAUUAGAGCUUUCUGAAAAAUACAAAAUACUUCCUUCGGUUGAACUGAGCUCCCAGUCAUCUCACAUCUAUAAUGAAUGCAUGAUUGCACUAGAUACAUAAAUAAAUAUUUUACAAUUAAAAAAAAUAUGGCCACAGCUAUUUGUUUUUAGACUGCCUUGAAAUUGUUUAAGCAAAGCAAACACUUUUGUUAUUAUGACCACUAGUUUUGUAGAAUAGGACCCUGGGGCUAAUCAUCUUCAUCCCACUUGGGUUCCGGAAUCCUGUUGCCUGCCUGGCUGCUGUUGACAUCUACUCACAUAAGGAAUAAUUAAUAGUAAAACAACAAAAAUGCUUUAUAUUUGUGUUCUUCCUCCUUUUUAAAUAUCCAGAUUUCAGCUGUUUCUCUUUCUCUAUAUACUUUUAUGUUUGUGUAUUUCCAAAUUAUAUAUUUAUAUAUUCCAGAGAUGAUUUUAGCUUUCGGGAGGACCCACAUGUCCUUAGUAUUAAUUCUGUUAACCCCAAAGAACAGCGUCCCCAGCACAAAAGGGAGACAGCGAUAGUCAGUGGUGGGAGAGGAUCUCCCUACAGUCCAAGAACAAAGUCCUCUUUUGAGAGUGAAACUCUUAAGAAAGCAGCUGUAGACAAGAUUAGGCGUCUGCGUAAGAAAUUUGCUUAAAGAGAUCGUUUUUCAAUAAAAAGCAAGAAGGGGUGACAUAGGUGUGGUCCCACUUCUGAAUUUAGCUAAACUGAGGUCACGUCUCAUCCUGCCCUGCCCCCUCUCAGGAAAGAAAAUGCAGCAAAGGGACGGUGAUGACCCGCAGGAGCCCUGGGCCAGCUCCUGAGCCCUGAGGGACCCUGCUGCCAGUCACAGAAAAGGAGUGCACUCUGUUAAUGCUCUGGGCUCACAGAGACUGGCCGCGGACUGGCGGGCACCGCGCCAUGCACGUCUCCGCAGACCCCAAAUCACUGUGCGGCAUCUGACCAGGAAGUUCUCAGUUUCCAUACAUGUUUCCCACGCUGUGAAUGGAAUUGCAGAUGCACUUUCUGGUCCCACUCUCACUUUAGCCACAGGCUUAGCAUAGGGGGCUAGUGAAAGGAGAACCCACGUUUUAAGGUGCCAGAUUUUGCAAAUAAAAAUACUGGGUGCCUGGUUAAAUUUGAAUUUCAGAUAAACAAGGAAUACUUUUUUUACUGUAAGCAUAUUCCAAAUGUGUUUUCUCUGGCAACCCUACCACAUUUUCUGAUCAAUAUUUAAUACUUUGAAAGAAAAUGAAUGAAUGAAUGAAUGAAUGGAGAGGAAGAUCAACAGGACAGAAACAGGUCACAGAGAUGCAAUUAGUGAAUAUAUAAUGCUUUUUAAAUUUUGUUAAUUUAAAAUAUUUUCUAUUAAUUUUACUUUUAAAAAUUAUU